rnacentral:lncRNA from 1 species
UGAUUCUUUCUGGUUUAUUGUCUAGAUAAUGUAAGUGUUUUCUUUUGUGCUUUUCCACCAUGAUUCCCUUAGUUUAAUUUUGAAUAGUUUGAUCAUAGCAUCACUAUUUUGUUUUAUGAACUUUUGGAUUUAGGGUUUCGGUUAUUUAGGUCCAGGAACCAAAAAGAAGAAGAUCCCGAAUCAAGGAGCCUAGAAUAUGUGUCCCCGAUCACCAUGUGUACUCUUUUGAUGGUUGUCUUCUGUUAAAUUGAGAUUUUGUUCGUUCGGGUGACUACUUUGAUUAAUAUAUCUUUGGAUACUUAGUUUGCUAUUUAUUAGUUUGAGUUUUUCUUUGUUGUUAGUAUUUUUUGGGUGUACUCUUUUGUUGUGUUUUGCCUUUAACACUCUUUUGUUGUGUUUUUCUUAAGCUAGAUCUAUCUAGAUUUUGUAAGUUCAAAAUAUCUCUUCUAUCAUACAAGUUCAAUGUUUUUAUAUACGUUUGUUAUUUCCAAAUUUUUUCGUCUUUGCUUAUUAUUUGUAGGUCAAAGGUUCGAAAUCAAAUGAAUAGCAGAAUAGGGGAGCUCACAAUUUGGAAUUACUAUGUCUGUUCCAUAAGCCAUAGGUCGAACAAAUAUUUUCCGUUUGGUUUAUUACUUUUUAGAUUCCUAAAUUUUAUGCUGUUGUUUGUAAUAUUAAUUUUUUAUAUGACCUAUCGGCUGAUCAAGUCGGUCCCAAAAAGAAUACAAUUAGUGAUAUAGAAUAGAAUAGUCUGAAAACGUACCACACUGCACGAACCGAGUUUGAAAUACUUUUCAACUAAUGCUAAAGAGUGGACCGAUUAUUAGUUACAAUCCACAAUAUAAACUAUUUGGGCCAAAGCCCAAUCUUAGACCGGCCAUGAAAAUUUAGUAUUUGAUGUGAACCAUAACUUUGAUUUUAUUACAGCCGUCUUCGUAUAUGUCACUGCAACCUGAUCUGGGAGCAUUGGCGGACCCAUCUCCAGAGCUUUCUUUGAGUAAAAUAGCUUAUGGCUUGGCUUAUGGAAACAGACAGAGGAGAAAUUCAGGUUUAGUGUAGUUCUUGAACGUGAAUGAUUGUGGAAACAGACACAGGAGAAAUUCAGGUUUUCACGCUAAAUUCAUCUUUUUCAGUUGUAUGUACUCAUAGAAAUAUAUGCUUGUGCAUAGUUUCAAUCCGGUUUGUAGAUGGUUGGUCUCUAGGGGUAUAGGGAUUUAGUGUAGUUCUUUUUUGGUCUAAGAUUUAGUGUUGUUCUUACUUUCUUACUAUUUACAUAUAUGGUUGUUUCUUUUUGAGUUUGGUCUGCAAAACUGUAUUAUACUGUCAUUCACUUUUCGGUGACAAAAACUAAGGCAUGUGAUAAUUAAAAAAUGACAUAGAUUAAGAAAAUGACUAGGAUAUCAUUAAAAAAAGUUUUGUCACAAAUAUAGUCUUUAAGAAUAAAAAUGACCAAAAUAACACUUAAUGUUUUAUCAAAAGAAAUAAAUAUACACUUAUACCCCAAUGGUAAAUUAAUUUAGAUAUUAGGGUUUAGAGUUAAGGGUGGUUUAGGAUUUAGGGUUUAGGGUUUAGAGUUUAGGGUUUAGGGUUUAGAGUUUAGGUUUUAGGGUUUAGAGUUGGGGAGUGGGGUUUUGGGGUUAAGAUUUCAUAACACUUAAUGUUUUAUCAAAAGAAAUAAAUAUACACUUAUACCCCAAUGGUAAAUUAAUUUAGAUAUUAGGGUUUAGAGUUAAGGGUGGUUUAGGAUUUAGGGUUUAGGGUUUAGAGUUUAGGGUUUAGGGUUUAGAGUUUAGGUUUUAGGGUUUAGAGUUGGGGAGUUGGGGAGUGGAGUUUUGGGAUAAGAUUUCAAAUUUUGAAAAAUAAAAAAAAUUUAAAUUUUUCAAAAGAUAAAAUGCUAUUUUGGUCUUUUUAGUUUUUGAGAGCUAUUUUUGUGUCAUAAACUUAGAAAUGUGCUAUUUUGGUCAUUUUAGUUUUUGAGAGCUAUUUUUCUAACAUUAAGAUUUUUAACGGUAAAACUCCUCAACUAAAUUUGUUUUAGGUAAAACCCCCAAACUAAGUAUUUAACGAAAAAAUCUUAAAC